rnacentral:tRNA from 1 species
GCCCCCAUCGUCUAGAGGCCUAGGACACUUCCCUUUCACGGAGGCGACGGCGAUUCGAAUUCGCCUGGGGGUACCA